rnacentral:tRNA from 1 species
GAGGUGAUAGCUCAGUCGUAGAGCGGGUGAUUGCAGCUCACCAGGUCGAGCGUUCAAACCGCUCUCGCCUCU